UCAUAUAAAACCAAAGAAAUACUAAAACCCCGAAAAAUGUUAAAUGUCUAUAAAUAGCUAAGAAAAUGAACAGUUUUGAUUAUACUACGCUAAAAUAGGCCAAUAUAAGUUUUGUACCCAAAUUUGAGGUCUAAAAAUAUUUUUGACCAAUUUACAAAGUAAAAACAAAAUUGAAAGUGAUGAACCCUUUAUUUUCGUAAACUUUCCCGUUUUUUUUAAGUUUUUUCCCCGGUGUUGUCCAAUUAUAAAAAAAAAACUAUACGGAAAAUCAAAGAAUCGUUUAUUAAGAACCUAUUAGAUUCAAAAUGCAACAAUUAAAAAGAUAACGCGGUGUCUGUCAGACGCGUCCCUGAGGGGGCGAUCACCCCCCCCCCCCAUUAAGCCGUGUGAUG